UACAGAGGGUGCAAGCGUUGUUCGGAAUUAUUGGGCGUAAAGCGCGUGUAGGCGGCUUUGCAAGUCGGGUGUGAAAGCCCUCAGCUCAACUGAGGAAGUGCGCCCGAAACUGCAGAGCUUGAGUACCGGAGAGGAUGGUGGAAUUCCCCAAGUAGAGGUGAAAUUCGUAGAUAUGGGGAGGAACACCGGUGGCGAAGGCGACCAUCUGGACGGAUACUGACGCUGAGACGCGAAAGCGUGGGUAGCAAACAGGA
rnacentral:rRNA from 1 species